rnacentral:siRNA from 1 species
UUGGACGUCUGCCUCACUUCCU